rnacentral:antisense_RNA from 1 species
AGUCGGGCUCCACCCUGGACAUACCGGUUCCCUCCAGCUUCAACGACGUUGGCCAGGACUGGCGGCUGCGGCAUUUUGUAGACCAGAUGUGGUACGAACGGGAGGUGACCCUCCUGGAGCAGUGGACCCAGGACCUGCACACAAGAGUGGUACUGAGGAUUGUCAGUACCCACUCCUAUGCCAUCGUGUGGGUGAAUGGGGUCGACACGCUAGAGCAUGAGGGAUCUACCUCCACUUUGACACCGACAUCAGUAGCCUGUUCCAGGUGGGGCCCCUGCCCUCCCGCCUCCGCAUCACUAUCACCAUCGACAACAUGCUCAUCCCCUCCACCCUGCCACCAGGGAGCAUCCUCGACAUGGCCGACACCUCCACGUGGGUACCAUCCUGCUUCCCCCGCAGACACCCACCUUCCUGUCCCACCCCGUGGGGCAUUACAUUAGGGUAAUUACAUUAGUGUCAAGAUAUGCCAUAAUACCGAGAAUGGAGGAGUCUGAGGCCCUGGUCCAUCAACUGACAGCAUGAACUUCACGUCAAGAAGUGAGAUUGGUGAAUAAGUGAAGAGAGAAGGAAAAUUGGAGAUACAGCUGGAUGUAUGAACCCUGCUCUGAAAACACUCUUUAACGGUAUAAGGAUUCUUAUUAACGAAUUUUAUUUCUUCUUUAUCUGAUCAUUAUUUUAUUUUGAUUUAUAGAGGAAUAUAUAGAGGGGGAUAUCUAUCUAUAGAGACACACACGUUUGUGUGUGUAUAUAUAAAUAUAUAUGUAUGUGUA